rnacentral:rRNA from 1 species
UACGGGGGGGGCAAGCGUUUGUUCGGAAUUACUGGGCGUAAAGGGCGCGUAGGCGGCCAUCUAAGUCAGACGUGAAAUCCCUCGGCUCAACCGAGGAACUGCGUCUGAUACUGGAAGGCUUGAAUCCGGGAGAGGGAUGUGGAAUUCCAGGUGUAGCGGUGAAAUGCGUAGAUAUCUGGAGGAACACCGGUGGCGAAGGCGGCAUCCUGGACCGGUAUUGACGCUGAGGCGCGAAAGCCAGGGGAGCAAAGCGGGG